rnacentral:rRNA from 1 species
UGGGGAAUAUUGGACAACGGGCGAAAGCCUGAUCCAGCCAUGCCGCGUGUGUGAAGAAGGUCCUCGGAUUGUAAAGCACUCUAAGUUGGGAGGAAGGGCAGUAAGCGAAUACCUUGCUGUUUUGACGUUACCGACAGAAUAAGCACCGGCUAACCCUGUGCCAGCAGCCGCGGUAAUACAGAGGGUGCGAGCGUUAAUCGGAUUUACUGGGCGUAAAGCGUGCGUAGGCGGCUAAUUGAGUCGGAUGUGAAAUCGCCGGGCUUAACUUGGGAAUUGCAUUCGGUACUGGUUAGCUAGAGUGUGGGAGAGGAUGGUAGAAUUCCAGGUGUAGCGGUGAAAUGCGUAGAGAUCUGGAGGAAUACCGAUGGCGAAGGCAGCCAUCUGGCCUAACACUGACGCAGAGGUACGAAAGAAUGGGGAGCAAACAGG